UUAGUGUUAUUUUUACUUCAAACUAUUACUUCUUGGGUGAUGUUUGCCUUGGAAAAAUUAUCCAGAUAUUUGCUGUAUCUUCUUUUUAAGGUAAGGAAACAAGUGGGAGAAGAUGCCAGGAUAACGCAGCUGGAAGUGACAGUGCUGUGUUAGAACCCAGGCCUAUCAGACUCUAGGAUCCAGCCUCGACCACUCCUGAUACACUGCAUGGCUUCGUUGUACUUACUUGGCAGAGGUAUGGGUUUCUGGUGGAUUUGUCUGCAAGGAAGAAUUUCAGAUAAUUAAAGGACAAAGCAUAA
rnacentral:sRNA from 1 species